CAUGCUAUGGAAGACAAAACCUUGGUGUGAUGGUAGCGGGAGCAAGUGAUGCGAUAUGGGGGAAUCGAGCAGCCUGUGGGAGAAAUUACAGAAUUAAAUGCAUCGGAGGCGCAAACUUGGCGCCACAUCCUUGCAAGUCUGGUGACGUUGUGGUUAAAAUUGUGGAUUACUGUUCGUCACCAUGCAAUGGAACUAUAAGUCUCUCUAGAGAUGCUUUCUCCAAAAUAGCUGAUCUUGAUGCCGGAAAAGUCAAAAUUGAGUAUUUUCCGGCUUGAAGUUCUCUGGCCUAGAACAUGACCUCCUGACAAGGGGUUUUUGAAAAAAGUGAAAUAAGCAGCUAGCUAGCUCAUGGAUGAAACUUCUAUCUAGUCAAUGCAUGCCAACAUGAUGUAGAAAUCACUGUAUAUGCAAGCGAUAUAUGUUCAGUUCAGUGCUGCAAUAAAGAGAGGCCUUAGUUCUUUA